rnacentral:rRNA from 1 species
GACGAACUCUGGCGUCGUGCUUAACACAUGCAAGUCGAACGAGUGGCGAACGGGUGAGUAACACGUGGUUGACCUGCCCUGCACUUCGGGAUAAGCCUGGGAAACUGGGUCUAAUACCGGAUAGUGUGGGAUGGGCUCGCGGCAUAUCAGCUUGUUGGUGGGGUGAUGGCUACCAAGGCACGAUCAGUUGCGGGUCUUAGAGGAUGAUCCGCCACACUGGGACUGAGACACGUCGCAGACUCCUACGGGAGGCAGCAGUGGGGAAUUUUGUACAAUGGGCGCAAUCCUGAUCCAGCCAUGCCGCGUGUCUGAAGAAGGCCUUCGGGUUGUAAAGGACUUUUGUUAGGGAGACGGUACCUAAAGAAUAAGCACCGGCUAACUACGUGCCAGCAGCCGCGGUAAUAC